CCAUCUGUCUGUGUAUCUUUCUGUAUUUGGCUGUGCACAUUUGUAUUUCUGUGAUUCUAUGCCUGUGGUUCUAUGCACGUGGAAGUGUGUGCAUUUGUGUGUGCAGCACACAAACACCUGUGCACCCCAGAUCUUUUAGAUCUCUUUCUGGUAAUCUCUACAUCUGCUUUUAUACUGUAUAGUCAUUAGAGGGAGCUCAAGAAUUUCCAUUUUCUCUUGAUGAGGCUAAGAAAAAGGUGCAUUAAAAGUCACUGAAGGGGGCACUUGAUGGGAUGAGCACUGGGUGUUAUUCUGCAUGUUGGCAAAUUGAACACCAAUAAAAAUAAAUUUAUUUAAAAAACUAAAUUAAAGUCACAGCUUCCUUUGAAAAUGUGGAAGUGUGUUUAUUUGUGCGUGCUUUUAUAAGUAUUUGAGUCUCUGUGUUUUCAUACAUAUAAACCUCUGCAUAUGUCCCCGUGACUGUGCAUGUGCCCGUGUUUCUGCUUGCAGACUAAGUCCACGUAUGCAGCUAUAUGCCUAUGAUGGCAGAUGCAUGUGUGUGUGUGCACUCCUAUACUUGAUGUACAUCUAGGAUUGAGUGCCACAGGGGCAUAGGGGUACAUUUGUAGAUCAUUUGUGUAUGUACAUCUGUGCCGAUGUGUAUAUGUGCUGAUGUGUACAUGUCUGUGCCUCCGUAUGCCUAUAGAUAUGUCUAUUUUUUUUAAAAAAAUAGACCAUGUUCAGGUCUGUGUUGUCUGUAGAUACCACGUGGCUUGUCUCUUAUGUUAUAUGCUGAGGAUGUUGUGUAUUUCUGGCAGGUACACCUGGCAUCUGAGUGUGCAUCUCCAUGUGCAUUUAUAUGUCUGUAUACGUGAGUGCUUUUAUGGAGUUGUGUGUGCGUGUGCCCCUAAGAGAGGUUUGGAGUGUGUCACCACCUGAGUAGGUGAAAUCUUGUCUUUUUUGGAGGCAGUACUCACGUCUAUGUAUACAUAUGUAAGUCCGCGGAACCGUACCUGUAUUCCUAUGUAUAUGUUUCUGCAUGAGUCCAUGUGUAUAAGUAGCAUCUAUGUCUAUGCAGAAAUGUUUAGUCCUCACGUUUGCUGCCUGCAACUAUUCAUCUGUGUGAGUAUUUGCACGUCUGCAUGUCUGUGUGUCAACUGAUAUGUCUGUACCUAUACAUUCUUGCUGUAAGCCUCUUUAUCCAUGUCUAGGCGCUUCUAUAUUCACAUGUACAAGCCUCAGCAUUCACCCAUCUGUUUGUCCACCUCUGUCGGCCUGUGUAAGUCUGUGUAACCAUCUGCGUGUCCACAGGGGCACGUGUGAGUGCAUCUGCCUCAAUCUGUAUACGUGAGAAUGAAUUUUUUUGGAUGACUCUGGGUGAAUGCGUAUGUGCCUGUGUGCAGAUGUUUAUGCUGCUGCCUAACAUAAGGACUCUGCAUGCAGGAGAAUUUUGCAUGUCUGCAUGUACUUGUCUGUGUGCACGCUUCUGUGCUACGCAUACUCAUCUGUUCGUGUGCAUACACAGGAGAACCCAUAUAAGCAUCUGUGUGGCGGGAUGUCUGGAAGGUAUGCUGGGUUCUGCUAGUGUGUGCCUGCAUUUCUGUGACUAUGCACAGAGGUCAAUGCACAUGCACACUUCUGUGUGUAUCCGUGCACCUCCUGGUUGGUUCAGGUGUAUGUCUGUGGGCCUCUGUGUCUACCUGUACAUCCUUGUGGGCCUCCACAUCUACCUGCACGGGUAGAAAUCUGUAUGUGUGUUUCUGCCUGCAUCUGCUCGAGCUUCUGCAGCUGUCUCUUUGUGACUCUAUGUGCGUGUGGGUCUGUGUACAUCUCUGCCUCUGUGUCCAUGCCUGCAUUCCUGUGAAUGUCCCUGUGCUUCUCUAUGGGUAGGGGACUCUGCGU
rnacentral:lncRNA from 1 species